AAAAAUAAAAAAUCUCGGCUGCUUCCAAAAAAGGACUCCAACGUCUCUCUUGAGGAUCUCAUUAAGAGAUCCCUCUCUCUGAAAACGGAAGCAUAAAAAAAUAAAUAAAUAAAGUGAAACCGCAUCUCCUUCACAAAAAACCCUGCAUCCACCUUUAAAACCCUCGACCGUCAAACCUCCGCCGCCACCCCUCAUCAACCCUAAACUCUAAUCCGCCUCCACCCACCUCCUUCACUCCAC
rnacentral:lncRNA from 1 species